UGGCGGACGGGUGAGUAAUGUCUGGGAAACUGCCCGAUGGAGGGGGAUAACUACUGGAAACGGUAGCUAAUACCGCAUAACGUCGCAAGGCCAAAGAGGGGGACCUUCGGGCCUCUUGCCAUCGGAUGUGCCCAGAUGGGAUUAGCUAGUAGGUGGGGUAACGGCUCACCUAGGCGACGAUCUCUAGCUGGUCUGAGAGGAUGACCAGCCACACUGGAACUGAGACACGGUCCAGACUCCUACGGGAGGCAGCAUG
rnacentral:rRNA from 1 species